rnacentral:rRNA from 1 species
AGUGAACGCUGGCGGUAGGCCUAACACAUGCAAGUCGAACGGCAGCACAGUAAGAGCUUGCUCUUACGGGUGGCGAGUGGCGGACGGGUGAGGAAUACAUCGGAAUCUACUUUUUCGUGGGGGAUAACGUAGGGAAACUUACGCUAAUACCGCAUACGACCUACGGGUGAAAGCAGGGGAUCUUCGGACCUUGCGCGAUUGAAUGAGCCGAUGUCGGAUUAGCUAGUUGGCGGGGUAAAGGCCCACCAAGGCGACGAUCCGUAGCUGGUCUGAGAGGAUGAUCGGCCACACGGGAACUGAGACGCGGCCCGGCCUCCUACGGGAGCCAGCAGUGGGGAAUUUUGGAAAAUGGGCGCAAGCCUGAACAACCCAUACCGCGUGGGUGAAGAAGGCCUGCGGGUUGUAAAGCCCUUUUGUGGGGAAAAAAAAACAGCAGGUUAAUACCCCGCUGUCCUGCCGGUACCCAAAGAAUAAGCACCGGCUAACUUCGU